AUCCAACUGACGAGCCCCAAAUAGGACAAAACGCACAUCCUGGAU
rfam:Schistosoma margrebowiei strain Zambia genome assembly, scaffold: SMRZ_contig0004356